GAUGAACGCUGGCGGCGUGCCUAAUACAUGCAAGUCGAGCGAACAGACGAGGAGCUUGCUCCUCUGACGUUAGCGGCGGGCGGGUGAGUAACACGUGGAUAACCUACCUAUAAGACUGGGAUAACUUCGGGAAACCGGAGCUAAUACCGGAUAAUAUAUUGAACCGUAUGGUUCAAUAGUGAAAGACGGCUUUGCUGUCUCUUCUAGAUGGUUCCCCGCCGCAUUAGCUGGUUGGUAGGGUAACGGCUUACCAAGGCAAGGAUGCGUAGCCGACCUGAGAGAGUGAUCGGCCACAUGGGAACUGAGACACGGUCCAGGCUCCUACGGGAGGCAGCAGUAGGGAAUCUGCCGCAAAGGGCGAAAGCCUGACGGAGCAACGCCGCGUGAGUGAUGAAGGUCUUCGGAUCGUAAAACUCUGUUAUUAGGGAAGAACAAAUGUGUAAGUAACUAUACACGUCUUGACGGUACCUGGUCAGAAAGCCACGGCUAACUACGUG
rnacentral:rRNA from 1 species